rnacentral:rRNA from 1 species
AGUCGAACGGAGCUUAGAGAGCUUGCUUUUUAAGCUUAGUGGCGAACGGGUGAGUAACGCGUGAGUAACCUGCCCUAGAGUGGGGGACAACAGUUGGAAACGACUGCUAAUACCGCAUAAGCCCACGGUACCGCAUGGCACUGAGGGAAAAGGAUUUAUUCGCUUUAGGAUGGACUCGCGUCCAAUUAGCUAGUUGGUGAGGUAACGGCCCACCAAGGCGACGAUUGGUAGCCGGACUGAGAGGUUGAACGGCCACAUUGGGACUGAGACACGGCCCAGACUCCUACGGGAGGCAGCAGUGGGGGAUAUUGCACAAUGGGGGAAACCCUGAUGCAGCGACGCCGCGUGGAGGAAGAAGGUUUUCGGAUUGUAAACUCCUGUCGUUAGGGACGAUAAUGACGGUACCUAACAAGAAAGCACCGGCUAACUACGUGCCAGCAGCCGCGGUAAAACGUAGGGUGCAAGCGUUGUCCGGAAUUACUGGGUGUAAAGGGAGCGCAGGCGGGAAGACAAGUUGGAAGUGAAAACCAUGGGCUCAACCCAUGAAUUGCUUUCAAAACUGUUUUUCUUGA